rnacentral:rRNA from 1 species
CCUACGGGAGGCAGCAGUGGGGAAUAUUGGACAAUGGGGGCAACCCUGAUCCAGCCAUGCCGCGUGUGUGAAGAAGGCCCUCGGGUUGUAAGGCACUUUCAGUGAGGAAGAACGCCUGGUGGUGAAUACCCAUCAGGAAAGACAUCACUCACAGAAGAAGCACCGGCUAACUCCGUGCCAGCAGCCGCGGUAAUACGGAGGGUGCGAGCGUUAAUCGGAAUUACUGGGCGUAAAGCGCGCGUAGGUGGCUUGAUAAGCCGGUUGUGAAAGCCCCGGGCUCAACCUGGGAACGGCAUCCGGAACUGUCAAGCUAGAGUGCAGGAGAGGAAGGUAGAAUUCCCGGUGUAGCGGUGAAAUGCGUAGAGAUCGGGAGGAAUACCAGUGGCGAAGGCGGCCUUCUGGACUGACACUGACACUGAGGUGCGAAAGCGUGGGUAGCAAACAGGAUUAGAUACCCGAGUAGUC